rnacentral:rRNA from 1 species
UAGGGAAUAUUGCAAAAUGGGCGAAAGCCCGAUGCAGCAACGCCGCGUGGGCGAUGAAGGCCUUCGGGUCGUAAAGCCCUUUUUGAGGGGAUGAGGAAGGACAGUACCCUCAGAAUAAGCCUCGGCUAACUACGUGCCAGCAGCCGCGGUAAAACGUAGGAGGCGAGCGUUAUCCGGAUUUACUGGGCGUAAAGCGCGUGCAGGCGGAUUGGAGAGUUGGAUGUGAAAGCUCCCGGCUUAACUGGGAGAGGUCGUUCAAUACUUCCUGUCUUGAGUGCAGUAGAGGGAAGUGGAAUUCCGGGUGUAGUGGUGAAAUGCGUAGAUAUCCGGAGGAACACCAGUGGCGAAAGCGGCUUCCUGGACUGUAACUGACGCUCAGACGCGAAAGCUAGGGUAGCAAAC